rnacentral:lncRNA from 1 species
CAAAUGUUAAAUAAAAUGGUAAAUUCGUAUUUGAAAUAGAUUUAAAAAAGACAUGAAUAGUAUAUUUUGAAUCAGUUCACAAUCAUGGACGAUAUAGAAAACAAUCUAAACGAACUUGUAAGAUCAGUGAAUAGUAGAACUUUUCUUUUAGUGCAAACUAAAGGUAUAACUCUGAUUAUAUAUUCCACUGGAGUUUCUUUGGCGGCGG